rnacentral:sRNA from 1 species
UUAUAGAUCACGACGCGAGGGUUGUCGCUGGUCCCUCGGGGGCAUAGUGCACGCCCGAGCAUCAAUUCCAAAACACACCUGUGAAACACCGGGGGCCCUGCAAAGGGCUCGCCUCUAUAUACUCUGCAUGUCUCGUAAAAUGUCAAAUUGUUUGCCUUGAAAAAACAAUCAAAUACAACUUUCAACAACGGAUCUCUUGGCUCUCGCAUCGAUGAAGGACGCAGCGAAAUGCGAUAAGUAAUGUGAAUUGCAGAUUUUCAAUGAAUCAUCAAAUCUUUGAACGCACCUUGCGCCCCUUGGUAUUCCGAGGGGCAUGCCUGUUUGAGUGUCAUUCAAACCAUCAACCCCGUCGAUCUUUGAUCGGUCGGAGGCUUGGACUUUGGAGCGUGCUGGCCCAAUUGAGGUCGGCUCCUCUUUAAAUGCACCUAGUAUUGCGGGUGUGGGGGUGUCAACGAAGGAGCCCAUAAUCCUGUUGCGUCGUCAGGGUCUGGUUGGGGCUCGCUUAUAAUCGUCUUCGGACUACAUCUCGUUUUGACCUCAAAUCAGGUAGGACUACCCGCUGAACUUAAGCAUAUCAAUAAGACGGAGGAAAAUGG